AGAACGAACGCUGGCGGCAUGCCUAAUACAUGCAAGUCGAACGAAGGCUUCGGCCUUAGUGGCGCACGGGUGCGUAACGCGUGGGAAUCUGCCCCUUGGUUCGGAAUAACAGUUGGAAACGACUGCUAAUACCGGAUGAUGACGAAAGUCCAAAGAUUUAUCGCCAAGGGAUGAGCCCGCGUAGGAUUAGCUAGUUGGUGAGGUAAAGGCUCACCAAGGCGACGAUCCUUAGCUGGUCUGAGAGGAUGAUCAGCCACACUGGGACUGAGACACGGCCCAGACUCCUACGGGAGCAGCAGUAGGGAAUA
rnacentral:rRNA from 1 species